rnacentral:rRNA from 1 species
GAGGAGACACGAGCGGAGCUUACAAUCCGGUAUCUGUGGCUCAGUUCAGAUCGUAGGCUGCUUCUCGCCUACGUGAAGGAGGAAUCGCUAGUAAUCGCAGGUCAGCAUACUGCGGUGAAUACGUUCCCGGGCCUUGUACACACCGCCCGUCACACCAUGGAAGUUGGCCACGCCCGAAGCCGUUACUCCAACCCUUGUGGAGGAGGACGUCGAAGGUGGGGCUGAUGACUGGGGUGAAGUCGUAACAAGGUAGCCGUACCGGAAGGUGCGGCUGGAUCACCUCCUAA